AAAUUAACUAGCAGUUAUAUCCUCUAUUAGUUCACAGAGAUGCCAAAAGGAAAACCAAAAUGGGUGGAAACCCACUGAUAAACAUAGUUGAAGCUUAUGAUAAUUCACAUAAUUAAAAACAUUUAAUGUUUUGUUCUGAAUUGCAUCAAUGCUCAGGCAUGCAAAUACCUAUUAUAUAUUACUAACAAACUAACGCUCUGAAGUAACUUCUGAUUACUACGUUCAAUUCUCGAAUAGUCAUUCUAUAAUGAAAGGAUAUUAAGAACUUGAAAUUUUCUGUUGUCCAAUCCUACCAAUUUAAUUCAAAUUUUAUCCUUCAAUUUAACAGAUUAUUCUAAUGAUAGAGACAAAUGCCUUUGCAAGAAGACUAAAGCAGAUACAUAGCCGAGAAGUUUUUAUUACCUGAUUAAAAUCUCCAGUGUGG
rnacentral:misc_RNA from 1 species